GAUGAACGCUGGCGGCGUGCCUAAUACAUGCAAGUCGAGCGAAUGGAUUAAGAGCUUGCUCUUAUGAAGUUAGCGGCGGACGGGUGAGUAACACGUGGGUAACCUGCCCAUAAGACUGGGAUAACUCCGGGAAACCGGGGCUAAUACCGGAUAACAUUUUGAACCGCAUGGUUCGAAAUUGAAAGGCGGGUUCGGCUGUCACUUAUGGAUGGACCCGGGUCGCCUUAGCUAGUUGGUGAGGUAACGGCUACCCAAGGCAACGAUGCGUAGCCGACCUGAGAGGGUGAUCGGCCACACUGGGACUGAGACACGGCCCAGACUCCUACGGGAGGCAGCGGUAGGGAAUCUUCCGCAAUGGACGAAAGUCUGACGGAGCAACGCCGCGUGAGCGAUGAAGGCUUUCGGGUCGUAAAACUCUGUUGUUAGGGAAGAACAAGUGCUAGUUGAAUAAGCUGGCACCUUGACGGUACCUAACCAGAAAGCCACGGCUAACUACGUGCCAGCCGCCGCGGUAA
rnacentral:rRNA from 1 species